rnacentral:tRNA from 1 species
AAAGGAUCCUCGGAGAAUAUUUGUCUUGAAAUCAAAAAGAGAGUGUUCGACUCACUCAUCCUUUU